AUCCAACUGACGAGCCCCAAAUAGGACAAAACGCGUGUCCGGGAU
rnacentral:hammerhead_ribozyme from 1 species